AACGCAGCGAAGUGCGAUAAGCAAUGCGAAUUGCAGAACCGCGAGUCAUCAGAUUUUUGAACGCAAGUGGCGGCAACUUCGGUUGUCAUGGUUGUUUCAGUGUGUCCGGUUAAUUACAUCAUGGAAUUUAAUGUGAUUGAAGAAAUUCUCUCACAAAAUAUGGAGUAGUGUCAAUGAAGACUCCAAACGAACUAGUCACUAAAUGGUGAUAAUCGUUUGAGGAUCGGAAUUGGUGAAUCACUGCUCAAUAACAAAUUAUCCAUUAUGGCACCUG
rnacentral:misc_RNA from 1 species